rnacentral:rRNA from 1 species
GGUUAAGCGACUAAGCGUACACGGUGGAUGCCCUGGCAGUCAGAGGCGAUGAAGGACGUGCUAAUCUGCGAAAAGCGCCGGCGAGGUGAUAUGAACCCUUGACCCGGCGAUGUCCGAAUGGGGAAACCCAGUGCAAUCCGUUGCACUAUCGUUAACUGAAUACAUAGGUUAACGAGGCGAACCGGGGGAACUGAAACAUCUAAGUACCCCGAGGAAAAGAAAUCAACCGAGAUUCCCCCAGUAGCGGCGAGCGAACGGGGAGCAGCCCGGAGUCUGAAUCAGCUUGUGUGUUAGUGGAACGGUCUGGAAAGUCCGACGGUACAGGGUGAUAGUCCCGUACACGAAAAUGCACAUGCUGUGAACUCGAAGAGUAGGGCGGGACACGUGGUAUCCUGUCUGAAUAUGGGGGGACCAUCCUCCAAGGCUAAAUACUCCUGACUGACCGAUAGUGAACCAGUACCGUGAGGGAAAGGCGAAAAGAACCCCGGCGAGGGGAGUGAAAAAGAACCUGAAACCGUGUACGUACAAGCAGUGGGAGCCUCUUUAUGGGGUGACUGCGUACCUUUUGUAUAAUGGGUCAGCGACUUAUAUUCUGUAGCAAGGUUAACCGUAUAGGGGAGCCGCAGGGAAACCGAGUCUUAACUGGGCGUUAAGUUGCAGGGUAUAGACCCGAAACCCGGUGAUCUAGCCAUGGGCAGGUUGAAGGUUGGGUAACACUAACUGGAGGACCGAACCGACUAAUGUUGAAAAAUUAGCGGAUGACUUGUGGCUGGGGGUGAAAGGCCAAUCAAACCGGGAGAUAGCUGGUUCUCCCCGAAAGCUAUUUAGGUAGCGCCUCGUGAACUCAUCUUCGGGGGUAGAGCACUGUUUCGGCUAGGGGGUCAUCCCGACUUACCAACCCGAUGCAAACUACGAAUACCGAAGAAUGUUAUCACGGGAGACACACGGCGGGUGCUAACGUCCGUCGUGAAGAGGGAAACAACCCAGACCGCCAGCUAAGGUCCCAAAGUCAUGGUUAAGUGGGAAACGAUGUGGGAAGGCACAGACAGCCAGGAUGUUGGCUUAGAAGCAGCCAUCAUUUAAAGAAAGCGUAAUAGCUCACUGGUCGAGUCGGCCUGCGCGGAAGAUGUAACGGGGCUAAACCAUGCACCGAAGCUGCGGCAGCGACACUAUGUGUUGUUGGGUAGGGGAGCGUUCUGUAAGCCGUUGAAGGUGUGCUGUGAGGCAUGCUGGAGGUAUCAGAAGUGCGAAUGCUGACAUAAGUAACGAUAAAGCGGGUGAAAAGCCCGCUCGCCGGAAGACCAAGGGUUCCUGUCCAACGUUAAUCGGGGCAGGGUGAGUCGACCCCUAAGGCGAGGCCGAAAGGCGUAGUCGAUGGGAAACAGGUUAAUAUUCCUGUACUUGGUGUUACUGCGAAGGGGGGACGGAGAAGGCUAUGUCAGCCGGGCGACGGUUGUCCCGGUUUAAGCAUGUAGGCGGAGGUUCCAGGUAAAUCCGGUACCUUAUUAACGCUGAGGUGUGAUGACGAGGCACUACGGUGCUGAAGUGAUAAAUGCCCUGCUUCCAGGAAAAGCCUCUAAGCAUCAGGUAACACGAAAUCGUACCCCAAACCGACACAGGUGGUCAGGUAGAGAAUACCAAGGCGCUUGAGAGAACUCGGGUGAAGGAACUAGGCAAAAUGGUGCCGUAACUUCGGGAGAAGGCACGCUGAUGUGUAGGUGAAGCCCCUGCGGGCGGAGCUGAAAUCAGUCGAAGAUACCAGCUGGCUGCAACUGUUUAUUAAAAACACAGCACUGUGCAAACACGAAAGUGGACGUAUACGGUGUGACGCCUGCCCGGUGCCGGAAGGUUAAUUGAUGGGGUUAUCCGUAAGGAGAAGCUCUUGAUCGAAGCCCCGGUAAACGGCGGCCGUAACUAUAACGGUCCUAAGGUAGCGAAAUUCCUUGUCGGGUAAGUUCCGACCUGCACGAAUGGCGUAAUGAUGGCCAGGCUGUCUCCACCCGAGACUCAGUGAAAUUGAACUCGCUGUGAAGAUGCAGUGUACCCGCGGCAAGACGGAAAGACCCCGUGAACCUUUACUAUAGCUUGACACUGAACAUUGAGCCUUGAUGUGUAGGAUAGGUGGGAGGCUUUGAAGCGUGGACGCCAGUCUGCGUGGAGCCAACCUUGAAAUACCACCCUUUAAUGUUUGAUGUUCUAACGUUGGCCCCUGACCGGGGUUGCGGACAGUGUCUGGUGGGUAGUUUGACUGGGGCGGUCUCCUCCCAAAGCGUAACGGAGGAGCACGAAGGUUAGCUAAUCCUGGUCGGACAUCAGGAGGUUAGUGCAAUGGCAUAAGCUAGCUUGACUGCGAGCGUGACGGCGCGAGCAGGUGCGAAAGCAGGUCAUAGUGAUCCGGUGGUUCUGAAUGGAAGGGCCAUCGCUCAACGGAUAAAAGGUACUCCGGGGAUAACAGGCUGAUACCGCCCAAGAGUUCAUAUCGACGGCGGUGUUUGGCACCUCGAUGUCGGCUCAUCACAUCCUGGGGCUGAAGUAGGUCCCAAGGGUAUGGCUGUUCGCCAUUUAAAGUGGUACGCGAGCUGGGUUUAGAACGUCGUGAGACAGUUCGGUCCCUAUCUGCCGUGGGCGCUGGAGAAUUGAGGGGGGCUGCUCCUAGUACGAGAGGACCGGAGUGGACGCAUCACUGGUGUUCGGGUUGUCAUGCCAAUGGCACUGCCCGGUAGCUAAAUGCGGAAGAGAUAAGUGCUGAAAGCAUCUAAGCACGAAACUUGCCCCGAGAUGAGUUCUCCCUGAGACUUUAAGUCUCCUGAAGGAACGUUAAAGACGAUGACGUUGAUAGGUCGGGUGUGUAAGCGCAGCGAUGCGUUGAGCUAACCGAUACUAAUGAACCGUGAGGCUUAACCUU